UUUCCGAAAGCUGAAGAGUAUCUAAAAACAAUUGUGAGCUUUGGCAAAGUUACCCCUGAACAAAAAGAACAAUGUGAAGGUUUUGGUGUAGCAAUACAUUCAUGGGAGGAGUUCUUGUCAUUGGGUGAUGAUAAACAGUUUGAGCUCCCACUGAAGAAGAAAAGUGACAUCUAUACAAUAAUGUACACUAGUGGGACAACUGGUGAUCCAAAAGGUGUUCUAAUUUAAAAUAACAGUAUUGUGACACUUAUAGCUGGUGUUCAUCGUCUGCUAGGGAGUGUAGAUGCAUCAUUGGAUUCAAAUGAUGUUUAUCUCUCGUUUCUACCCUUGGCACAUAUAUUUUAUCGGGUGAUUGAAGAAUGUUUUAUUAAUCAUGGAGCAUCUAUAGGAUUUUGGCGUGGGG